rnacentral:sRNA from 1 species
ACAGCAUUCAACAGGGAGGGCAGGAACUUUCUUCCUGAGUCUUUGUUUUUCUUUUUACUAAUGAGGUAGGACUUUCCUGGAAGAUCCCAGUAGACUUCACAGCAGGUGGUGACUGCAUUCUGGUAAACGAAUGAGCUAAAUGCAUACCCCAGUUCACCAGUUCUGGGGCACCAGUUCCUUGGAGCAGGGAUGCUUGAAGAUGGAAAGAAAUUUGAUUCCUCCCGGGACAGAAACAAGCCCUUUAAGUUUAUGCUAGGCAAGCAGGAGGUGAUCCGAGGCUGGGAAGAAGGGGUUGCCCAGAUGAGUGUGGGUCAGAGAGCCAAACUGACUAUAUCUCCAGAUUAUGCCUAUGGUGCCACUGGGCACCCAGGCAUCAUCCCACCACAUGCCACUCUCGUCUUCGAUGUGGAGCUUCUAAAACUGGAAUGACAGGAAUGGCCUCCUCCCUCAGCUCCCUGUUCUUGGAUCUGCCAUGGAGGGAUCUGGUGCCUCCAGACGUGUGCACAUGAAUCCAUAUGGAGCUUUUCCUGAUGUUCCACUCCACUUUGUAU